rnacentral:rRNA from 1 species
UACGAGGGGUCCUAGCGUUGUUCGGAAUCAUUGGGCGUAAAGCGUCUGUAGGCGGCUUUGUAAGUCAGGUGUGAAAGCCCCGGGCUCAACCCGGGAAGUGCAUUUGAUACUGCAUAGCUUGAAUGUUGGAGAGGAUAGUAGAAUUCCAGGUGUAGUGGUGAAAUACGUAGAUAUCUGGAGGAAUACCGGUGGCGAAGGCGGCUAACUGGCCAAACAUUGACGCUGAGAGACGAAAGCAUGGGGAGCAAACAGG